CUAACCUUCAACCUAAAUGUCCUAGAAGAGUAUGAAUUCAGGACACUUGGUGGGCAAUGGCGGGGCGGAGUGGGGGUGGGGAAAGACUUCGGUCAGCGAGAAGAGGAAAGAAAGCAGAAAAAGCCAAGGCCAAGGCCUAGGGGCGGAGAGGGGGUAGAGGGUGUUGUAGACCCUCCCUUAUAACCAGAGAAAGGCAAACUCUAACCGCAGGGAGGUGAUGCCACUCGUGGGCAGUCAGAUUGGAGAAGAGCGAGAUGAUUGAUUGACAGGGAGGUGCGCGCUGUGGCCCAGCGCACAAACAGGCGGUUGUCCGUGCUUGUGCACGAGGCGGAAGUGGGGCGCUCCUGCUGCACUGGCCGCCGGAGUUGGGGGCGAGCUCGGCGGUGACGUGGGGUGCUCACGUGAUCGCGAGCUGCAGAGCGACGCAGCCUUCGGUGCAGUCGUCACUCCUGUCUGGGUACCAGCUCCCCACUCCCCUGCGCACGGCGGGUUGGCAUCAGGCCCGCAGCAAGCGGAGCAGGUCUGCCGAACCAAGUGUGGCGGCGGCGCACUCGUGGCGAGGAUCAGAAGGAGCAAGAGACAGCAAGGAUAGGCCCAGAAAAAUAAC
rnacentral:lncRNA from 1 species